rnacentral:rRNA from 1 species
CGAAAGCCUGACGGAGCAAGACCGCGUGAGGGAGGAAGGCUCUUGGGUUGUAAACCUCUUUUCUCAAGGAAGAAGUUCUGACGGUACUUGAGGAAUAAGCAUCGGCUAACUCUGUGCCAGCAGUCGCGGUAAUACAGAGGAUGCAAGCGUUAUCCGGAAUCACUGGGCAUAAAGCGUCUGUAGGUUGUUUAGUAAGUCUGUUGUUAAAGACUAGGGCUUAACCCUAGGCCAGCAGUGGAAACUGCUAGACUUGAGUGUGGUAGAGGUAAAGGGAAUUCCUAGUGUAGCGGUGAAAUGCGUAGAUAUUAGGAAGAACACCAAUGGCGAAAGCACUUUACUGGGCCAUAACUGACACUGAGAGACGACAGCUAGGGGAGCA